GUAAUCAUCUGGAAGAAAAACUAAGUCCUCAAUCCUCUUACUCUGAAAUUCAGAGUUACUAAAAUCUGCCAGAGGGGACUUUGGUGACCCUUUGAUGCCUGUGAUAGGAAGCACAAAAAACUCACUGCAAUAAAAGUCCCCGUGAGGUUAGAAAGAGCUGGCAGCAGUGGGCUUGCUUCAGCACUACGCGAAAGCAAAUAAAGGUCCCUGGUCCAUGAGAAGCCCUGGCCCAACUUCCAGAAAGGCAAACUUCCAGAGAACGGCAGUGUUGGGGAUGCUGAGCUGCCGUGGCUCGGAGCUAGGGGUGAUCUGGACGGAGAGCACCUUGGCAUCAGGACCAUCAGCCUCUGUCCCAAGUCUUGCCCGCCAGACUCUCAGCAGGCAGCGAGACCUAGCUCCGGGGGACAGAAUUGAGCAGAAACUUCUCUGCACGCAGCGCAGGUUUCCACUGGAGCAAGCGGGCAGCAUCCGGGAGCACACGCCGAAGACUUCAGGCUCCAGCAGGUAGUGUCUGGCACACUCCGGUGCUAAGGAACUGUUUGUUGAGUGAACAAAGAGUUGGAGAAGCGAGAAGGGGCUGACAAGUCUUCCUAAUGCGAAAAUCAAGCUUUUAAGGUGAGUGACUGUCUAUUUUUGCCUAACUUUGAGACAAGUCCUAAUUAUCAGACUUGUUUGAAUGUCUGUCCCCUACCAGUAUUGUUCUUCUGGUACUUUCUCAAGGAAUCACUAGCUAGGUACUCCUUAGCAUUGACUGCGAAUUUAUAUACCAAGGCAGUGACAAUUCUGACCAUAAAGUUAAAAGACACCUUGAAAAUAACUGUAUUUCCCUACUUUUUGGCAAAAUCACAUCUAAGCCACCCAAAGCAGAGAAGAGGCUAAUCCUUAUUUACAGAUGUUAAUCUUUACUUAAGUCCAUGAUUAAAGAAGUUAAUCC
rnacentral:lncRNA from 1 species